UACAGAGGGUGCGAGCGUUACUCGGAAUUACUGGGCGUAAAGCGCGCGUAGGCGGCUUUGCAAGUCGGGUGUGAAAUCCCCAGGCUCAACCUGGGAACUGCAUUCGAGACUGCAUUGCUAGAGUAUGGGAGAGGGAAGUGGAAUUUCAGGUGUAGCGGUGAAAUGCGUAGAUAUCUGGAGGAACACCGGUGGCGAAGGCGGCAUUCUGGACUGCAACUGACGCUGAAAAACGAAAGCCAGGGGAGCAAACGGG
rnacentral:rRNA from 1 species